rnacentral:rRNA from 1 species
GGCUAACUCGGUGCAACGAGCGGCGGAAAUACAGAGGGUGCAAGCGUGAAUGUGAAUUACUGGGCGUAAAGCGCGCGUAGGGGGUUCAGUAAGAUGGGUGUGAAAUCCCCGGGCUUAACCUGGGAACUGCUUUCAUAACUGCUGAGCUAGAGUACGGUAGAGGGUAGUGGAAUUUCCUGUGUAGCGGUGAAAUGCGUAGAUAUAGGAAGGAACACCAGUGGCGAAGGCGACUACCUGGACUGAUACUGACACUGAGGUGCGAAAGCGUGGGGAGCAAACAGGAUUAGAUACCCCGUAGUC